AAAGUACUCCCUUCGUUCUGAAUUACUUGUCACAGGUAUGGAUGUAUCUAGAUUUAUUUUAGUUCUAGAUACACUGCGAUGAGUAAUUUAAAACGGAGGGAGUACUAU
rnacentral:pre_miRNA from 1 species